rnacentral:rRNA from 1 species
UACGUAGGGGCCUAGCGUUGUCCGGAAUUAUUGGGCGUAAAGAGCUCGUAGGCGGUUCGGCAAGUCGGAUGUGAAAUCUCCACGCUUAACGUGGAGGGGCCAUUCGAAACUGCUGUGACUCGAGUCCGGGUAGGGGAGUGUGGAAUUCCCGGUGUAGCGGUGAAAUGCGCAGAUAUCGGGAGGAACACCAGUAGCGAAGGCGGCACUCUGGGCCGGUACUGGACGCUGAGGAGC